rnacentral:rRNA from 1 species
UACGGAGGUGGCAAGCGUUGUUCGGAAUUACUGGGCGUAAAGGGCGCGUAGGCGGCCAUCUAAGUCAGACGUGAAAUCCCCCGGCUUAACCUGGGAACUGCGUCUGAUACUGGACGGCUUGAGUGCGGGAGAGGGAUGUGGAAUUCCAGGUGUAGCGGUGAAAUGCGUAGAUAUCUGGAGGAACACCGGUGGCGAAGGCGGCAUCCUGGACCGACACUGACGCUGAGGCGCGAAAGCUAGGGUAGCAAACGGG